CAUAAUUCCUCCAGCCCAGGCCUACGACUGCUCGGCCGGUCGUCCCCACUGCCGCCGCCGGCGAUGUAGGGCGCCGUCUCCUCCGGCGCCGGCGACAACGAGGAUAGAGUUCUCUGCCGCGAUGGGAGGGUCUCAUAUGAGGUGGAGGGAGGCAAAGUAGGAUAUUUGCCCAACUGGAAAUUAACAACUGAAAUGGGCAACUGGGUUCUCAUCCGAUAGUGUUUCUGUUAGGUUCUUCUAUGGAGUCAGCAACAGGAUUUGAUAUUCUAUUUUGGGGAUGGCAAGCACAUGUUAUUCUAAUGCCUUACCAAUCUGGUGCUGGAUGAUAUUGAUAGGCUGUUUGGUCAUCCUUAAUGUAACACGCAUUCCCUCCCAUGGUGCUUACAAGUGGAGAGGUGAUUACUAUUAGGUGUACAACGGCGAGCAUAUGGUAUCAGGGAACAUCGCAACAACUUUUGCUGCACUACUCAAAGGUUAAAAGAUUGAUUAUAAAGUUCAUCAGCUGAAGGUCUGGUACACUCUUUGUGAUAGUAUUUGUUUCCAAUAGUGUCUGCUGACAAUGGCCUGCUGAAGUAUAUUUUGUACGCGAAUCUACUGGCCUACUCCAGCAUCAGUUUGGCAUGUUCAACCCUAUGCUGUGGCUUUUAUUUAUUGCAGCCUUGAUAUUCAGGGAUGUGUCCUGUGUUUGAUUUCUUAUUCAGGACUCUUACCCUUGUCUUAUUGUCACACAAUCAACAAAUGUAUCGGAGCUUAUCUAAUUAAAUUUCAUCUUUAUCUAAGGGGGAGGUAACAAGAUCGUUGAACUUGAUUUGUUGGCUGGCUACUUCAUUGCAGGCUUGUCAAGUGAUUGAUUGAUCCUUCUAGGCAGAUGUCAUUUUGAUCAAGUUUUAGGACUUGAUAAUUCUAUGGGGGAAAUGAGAAUGUAAUUGACAUAGCCAUGAAGGUCUAAGAAAUGAUUCUGAUCUUUAUAUAGAAAUGCAGUAUGCCUUUCUUUAUCUAAUAUCUCAGGGAAUUUGUAAUCCCACAUAGCAGGUGAUGGCAGAGGACAGUGAAUACUGCUGCAUGUCUUCUCUUUCCCUUCAGCAAUGCCCAGGAAAGCAGGUGCCUGUGGUUCCUCGAUCUCCCUCCAUAUCUGAUCAAUGGGAUAUGCAUCCAUGGCACUCUGGGUGCUCUCAAGGGUGCUGGUGACACAGCUACUGCCGUUGUGCGUGUCAGCAGCGCCCAUCCCAAUGAUUGGACAGGUGUCAAGAAGGCAGGAUUGGUAUGUCACUGAAGAGGAUGAGGAUGAAGGUUUGUGCAUCUGGAAUCCUUUGGACUCUCCAUUUUUUUGAGAACAUGCCAUGCACGUAUUUCAUUAAAAAGGAGAGAGCUUACAACACACCGCACCACAGACGGACACAAUGGGAAUCUACGAACACUAAGGAGAUAUGUGCAUCUGGAAUCCUUUAGACCCUCCAUCUUGUUAUGAAGAAGAAAAAUAAUUUCGUAAUGCUUUAUUUUUAUUGAGGAUUCAUAUUGUGCAUAUGUGCAAAAAAAGAAACAAGCUGUCUAUCAUCUUGACCAUCAACAAUCUGAAGAUAGCAAUUCUCGUCUUAUGAUGAUGGAGACCACCACAAGCUGAUGGACCAAGCAGUUCGUUCCAGAAAUUCUUUAUUGGACAAGAAAUGUGAUCCCGGUGACGACAGCGGACGCCGACUGCGACGCAGCCGGAGCCGAAACCACCACCCGUUUCGCAUGAUUUUGGUCUCACCACGCAGCACACACACUACACUAGGUGGAGCCUAGGGAGGGAGCAAAAGGUACGGUCGGAAUGAUAUCCUUGUGCGCGUGGCUCAUGCUGGAGUUGUUUACGGUGAACAGUGGAGUCUAGUCUCAGAAGUCAGCCAUCACCUACCAAACGUUAGGGCCUGACCCUGACAUGAAAUGUUUUUGUACCUUAAUGAUAACACAAGUAAUGACAAGCUAUAGCUGAAUAUAUAUGUUUCUUCCCGCUUGUCUGGCCCUCGGGUUCAAAAGUAGCAUUGUUGCAUCGACAGGGUUGCAAUGUUGCUUUGUGUUGUUAUCAUUGCGUACGUUCAAAAUGACAGCAUUUUGCUGUUGUUAUGUUAAACUACACUUACAGGCGUCAUGAGCUGUGGGAUUUAA